GCCGCAGUAGCUCAGUUGGUAGAGCAACGCAUUCGUAAUGCGUGGGUCGGGGGUUCAAGUCCCUUCUGCGGCACCA
rnacentral:tRNA from 1 species